rnacentral:rRNA from 1 species
GACGAACGCUGGCGGCGUGCUUAACACAUGCAAGUCGAACGGAAAGGCCCUGCUUGCAUGGUGCUCGAGGGGCGAACGGGUGAGUAACACGUGAGUGAUCCGCCCCUUACUUUGGGAUAAGCCUGGGAAACUGGGUCUAAUACGGGAUAGGUCCAUGCUGGGGGUGGUGUGGUGGGAAGAUUGUGUUCGGUGAGGGGUUAGCUCGCGGCGUAUCAGCGUCUUGGUGUGGGAAUGGCGUAGCAAGGCGUCGGCGGGUAGGCGGCCGGAGAGGGAGGGCGGCCGCAUUGCGACUGAGAUACGGCCCAGAGGCAUACGGGGGGCAGCAGUGGGGAAGAUUGGAAGAUGGGCGCAAGGAUGAUGCGGCGACGCCGCGGGGGGGCUGAUGGCAUUCGGGUUGUAACCGCCAUUAAGCCAUGACGAAGCAAUUGUGGUGACGGUAGUGGUAGAAGAAGCACCGGCUAACUACGUG